rnacentral:rRNA from 1 species
AUGGAGCCUGUGGCCGUCGUGGCGGUGCCGUUCCCGGCGCAGGGGCACCUCAACCAGCUACUGCACCUGUCGCUGCAGCUCGCUCACGACCUCGGCAUCCCCAGCUACGUCUCCCCGCCCCCGGACCCCACCGCCGACUCGCCCUUCCCCUCCCACCUCAUGCCCAUGUUCAAGGCCUACAUCGCCGGCGCGCGCGCCCCGCUCGCGGCUCUCCUCGACAAGCUUUCCGGCUCCUACCGCCGCAUAGUCGUAGUGCACGACCCCAUCAACGCCUUCGCCGCCGAGGAGGCCGCGCGGCUGCCCAACGGCGAGUCGCUCGGGCUGCACUGCUUGGCCGUGUCCAUGCUCGUUGGAAGAAUGGAUGCCAAUCACCGGCUACUGCGAGAGAACGGCCUCGUCUACAGCGCCAUCGAGGAAUGUGCGACCAAGGAGUUCGUGGAGUACGCCAACCGGGCCAGACCGACGAAAGACAUCUCGCCCGGCGCGGGCAUCCUGGCAAACACAUGCCGCGCGCUCGAGGGUGAAUUCAUCGACGUUGAGAGCAAGCAGCGGCACGAGUGCCUGAACUGGCUGGACGAGCAGCCUCCGGCGUCGGUGCUGUAUGUGUCCUUCGGCACGACGUCGUCCCUGCGAGCCGAGCAAAUCGAAGAGCUCGCAGCAGCACUGCGCGGCAGCAACCAACGCUUCAUCUGGGUGCUGCGCGACGCGGACCGCGGCGACAUAUUCGCGGAGGCCGGCAAGAGCUGCCACGAGGAGCUGCUGUCAGAGUUCACCAAGCACACGGAAGGGAGGGGGCUGGUGAUCACCGGGUGGGCGCCGCAGCUGGAGAUCCUAGCACACAGCGCCACGGCCGCGUUCAUGAGCCACUGCGGCUGGAACUCGACCAUGGAGAGCCUGAGCCACGGCAAGCCGAUUCUGGCAUGGCCCAUGCACUGCGACCAGCCGUGGGACGCGGAGCUUAUCUGCAACUACCUCAAGGCAGGCAUCCUCGUGCGCCCAUGGGAGAAGCACAGUGAGGUGGUCACGGCGAAGGCCAUCCAGGAAGUCAUCGAGGAGGCCAUGCUCUCCGACAAAGGAAUGGCCGUCCGGCAACGGGCAAGGGUGCUCGGAGAUGCCGUCCCCGCCUCCGUGUCUGACGGCGGUUCGUCGCGCCAGGACCUAGAUGAUUUCACUGCUUACAUCAGAAGUCAAUUGUUACCAGCUGUCGAAUGUGAAAUGAACGCCCGAAUCACCUUUUUCAACCUCGCGCACCCUCUUGUUCAUCUUCUUCCUUCGAACCGCCGUGCCGCCGACGUCGCCUGCUUCCGCCACCCGCGGCCGGUGGCGCUCCCACGCAGCCUCGCUGCACCGCCCUCCCCCAACCGCGGCCCAUUCCUGUAA